GUAACAAGGUUUCCGUAGGUGAACCUGCGGAAGGAUCAUUAAAGCGUUGCCGACGUCGGCCCCGGCCGUUCGGCUUGAAAUAUAGCCUGGACGGUGCUGGAGGUCGCCGGCAGUUGCCCAUUCUUGCCUACUGACCCAGUUGCCUCGGCGAGCCGUGCCACUCGUGGCAGACCGGAAGCCGUUUGAACCCCUAGGGCUCAGGCGGCCCUGGCCAGUGCCCGCCGACGGACAGACUUGAAAUCUUUAUAUAUUGGCCGUCUGAGCGUAUAAAGCAAAUCAAUUAAAACUUUCAACAACGGAUCUCUUGGUUCCGGCAUCGAUGAAGAACGCAGCGAAAUGCGAUAAGUAAUGUGAAUUGCAGAAUUCCGUGAAUCAUCGAAUCUUUGAACGCACAUUGCGCCCCCUGGUAUUCCGGGGGGCAUGCCUGUUCGAGCGUCAUUGCAACCCUCAAGCUCGGCUUGUGUGAUGGGCGACCGUCCUUCCCCUAGGGGCGGGACGCGUCCGAAAAGCAGUGGCUAGGCCGCGAUUCCGGCGCCUGAGCGAAUGGGACUUCCACCGCUUCUAGGACCGGCCGGCACUUGGCCUUUAAACACGGUCUUAACUGACCAUCUAGGUUGACCUCGGAUCAGGUAGGGAUACCCGCUGAACUUAAGCAUAUCAAUAA
rnacentral:misc_RNA from 1 species